UGGGGAAUCUUGGACAAUGGGCGCAAGCCUGAUCCAGCAAUGCCGCGUGGGUGAAGAAGGCCUUCGGGUUGUAAAGCCCUUUCGGCGGGGAAGAAAUCGGUCAGGCGAAUAGUCUGGCCGGAUGACGGUACCCGCAGAAGAAGCACCGGCUAACUACGUGCCAGCAGCCGCGGUAAUACGUAGGGUGCGAGCGUUAAUCGGAAUUACUGGGCGUAAAGGGUGCGCAGGCGGCCCUGUAAGACCGGUGUGAAAUCCCCGGGCUCAACCUGGGAAUUGCGCUGGUGACUGCAGGGCUAGAGUACGGUAGAGGGGGGUGGAAUUCCUGGUGUAGCAGUGAAAUGCGUAGAGAUCAGGAGGAACACCGAUGGCGAAGGCAGCCCCUGGCCUUGUUACUGACGCUCAUGCACGAAAGCGUGGGGAGCAAACA
rnacentral:rRNA from 1 species